GGUGGCUCAGUGGUAGAGUGCUUGCCUUGCAUGCAUGAGGCCUUGGGUUUGAUUCCUCAGUACCA
rfam:Dipodomys ordii contig_57436, whole genome shotgun sequence.